UACGUAGGGGGGCAAGCGUUGUCCGGAUUUAUUGGGCGUAAAGAGCGUGUAGGCGGCUGGGUAGGUCCGUUGUGAAAACUCGAGGCUCAACCUCGAGACGCCGAUGGAAACCCUCCAGCUAGAGUCCGGAAGAGGAGAGUGGAAUUCCUGGUGUAGCGGUGAAAUGCGCAGAUAUCAGGAAGGACACCCGUGGCUAAGGCGGCUCUCUAGUACGGUACUGACGCUGAGACGCGAAAGCGUGGGGAGCAAACAGG
rnacentral:rRNA from 1 species